rnacentral:lncRNA from 1 species
UUUAAUUAGAAAACUAAAAAAAAAGUAAUCUACAUUCAACAAAAGCAUGGUUGUUUUGCACCAUUCUAGCUUAUUUCCAUAUAUCUUACACAAGGAGAGUGUGACUCCUUGUUGUUCUGCAGGUUACAAUACCAUAUCAUCAUUAGGAAUGCAACGAAACCAGACCAAACCAAACCAACCAUUGUCUUAGGAUAACAUCAAUGCUUCACCAAACAAAGACUGUCCACUUUAAAUAGUUUGUUGUUGUUCAAUCAUAUUUAUGUAUAGUAAGGAUCGGGAUAAUGUUUUGCAUCCUCGAAAAUUUUCACCUGUUCUGCAAUCUUAUUCAUAACAAACCGUUUUGAUCUCCGUUUGUAUAGUUGACACAUAACAGAUUGAUAACAAGCAACAUUAGGUUUGACACCAGCUUUUAUCAUCAAAGUUGCUGCACUUUUAACAGAUUUCACCUCUUGUUCGGUAACUAAAGUUUGAUAAAGGUGCAACAAUUCUUUAAGCAAUUCAAUAGCUAGUUUAAAGUGACCGAUGACCAUAGAUUAGAUUUGCAUAUGUUCUAGGGUUAAGCAAGAUGUUGUUAAAAAUCAUUUCAACAUAAAGAGCAUAGGCUUGGUUUACAAGUCUUUCUUUGGAGAGCCUGAAUAUGAUUGAGUUAUAACAAGACGUGAGAUAAACACAAGUAUCUUCUGGUUCCCUUUCAAUCAGCAGUGCCUGUCUCAGCAUUUUUUUUAGGGAACCAGCGAUCUUAUUUAUAUCUAGGGAGGGUUAAACAAAUUUACUAACUUAUUUAUAGUAAGGGAUAAGGGUAAUUUUUUUUUUUUUUUUUGGGUAUGGGUAAAAUAUUGUUAUUCCUUUUUAAGAGGGUAGAAUAUUAUUUACAUUGUUGUGGUUCUAUUGCUGUGUAUUGUUCUUUUUUCUAAUGGAAUUUAAAUAAUUUUUUAAUAUAUAAUUUAAAUAAUAUUAUAAAUAUAACAAUAUAGUUUAAAUGAAGGGGUAAAAUUGAAAAGAAAAAGGUCACUGCAAAAAAUAUGUAUUCCCUUUAUAUAUUAUUAUAGAUUUUAGUGAGAUUUAUUUAAAUAAAUUUAUAAUAAUUUUGUCAAAAACUGUUGUUCUGACGGGCACUCA